CCAAUAGCGUAUAUUAAAGUUGUUGCAGUUAAAAAGCUCGUAGUUGAAUUUCGGGGUUAGUAGGUUGGUCAUGCCUCUGGUAUGUACUGGUCUCACUGAUUCCUCCUUCCUGAUGAACCUUAAUGCCAUUAAUUUGGUGUUUUGGGGAAUUUGGACUGUUACUUUGAAAAAAUUAGAGUGUUUAAAGCAAGCUAACGCUUGAAUACAUUAGCAUGGAAUAAUGAAAUAGGACGUUCGAUCCUAUUUUGUUGGUUUCUAGGAUUGACGUAAUGAUUAAUAGGAAUAGUUGGGGGCAUUAGUAUUCAAUUGUCAGAGGUGAAAUUCUUGGAUUUAUUGAAGACUAACUACUGCGAAAGCAUUUGCCAAGGAUGUUUUCAUUAAUCAAGAACGAAAGUUAGGGGAUCGAAGACGAUCAGAUACCGUCGUAGUCUUAACCAUAAACUAUGCCGACUAGGGAUCGGAUGAUGUUAAUUUUUUAAUGACUCAUUCGGCGCCUUACG
rnacentral:rRNA from 1 species